rnacentral:rRNA from 1 species
UACGUAGGGUCCGAGCGUUAAUCGGAAUUACUGGGCGUAAAGCGUGCGCAGGCGGUUCGCAAAGACAGGUGUGAAAUCCCCGGGCUUAACCUGGGAACUGCGCUUGUAACUAGCGGGCUAGAGUGCGGCAGAGGGGGGUGGAAUUCCACGGUGUAGCAGUGAAAUGACGUAGAGAUGUGGAGGAAUACCGAUGGCGAAGGCAGCCUCCUCGGGCCCAACAC